GCCUGGGUGGCUCAGUUGGUUAAGUGUCUGACUUCUGCUCAGAUCAUGAUCUCACAGCUUGUGAGUUUGAGCCCCAUGUCAGGCU
rnacentral:tRNA from 1 species